ACUGAACGCUGGCGGCAUGCCUUACACAUGCAAGUCGAACGGUAACAGGUCUUCGGAUGCUGACGAGUGGCGAACGGGUGAGUAAUACAUCGGAACGUGCCUAGUAGUGGGGGAUAACUACUCGAAAGAGUGGCUAAUACCGCAUGAGAUCUACGGAUGAAAGCAGGGGAUCGCAAGACCUCGUGCUACUAGAGCGGCCGAUGGCAGACUAGGUAGUUGGUGGGAUAAAAGCUUACCAAGCCGACGAUCUGUAGCUGGUCUGAGAGGACGAUCAGCCACACUGGGACUGAGACACGGCCCAGACUCCUACGGGAGGCAGCAGUGGGGAAUUUUGGACAAUGGGCGCAAGCCUGAUCCAGCAAUGCCGCGUGCAGGAUGAAGGCCUUCGGGUUGUAAACUGCUUUUGUACGGAACGAAAAGCCCCGGGUUAAUACCCUGGGGUCAUGACGGUACCGUAAGAAUAAGCACCGGCUAACUACGUGCCAGCCGCCGCCGUAA
rnacentral:rRNA from 1 species